CUCUGUUACGCCGCUGUCUGGCCGUAGACACCACUGCCCGAAGUCAAGCCCCCGUCGUUCAAGGAGACUCUGGUGUCCCAGGCUGCGACUCUAACGAGGGGUGUUCCCAUUUUUCACCGGAACCUAGAAGACUUAGUGAUUUUUUCUUUGGCCACCUAGUAGGUGAAAAGUGGUGCUUUAUGUUUUAACUUGCAUUUCAUUUAGAUUAGGGACCUUGAGGAUAAGGUAUUUUUUUUACGUUUAUUGACCAUUUAUGAUUUUUCAAGGAAAUGGCCUUUCCCAUUUUUUAACUUGAAAUGUUACUAUUUUCCUUUUAUAUUUGCGAUAGGUUUUUUUACUUGCAAGGUCAUCAACUCAUUUGUUACAAAUACUUCCCUUUAAUUAUUUAAAAAAUGUUAGUACAGGGGCGCCUGGGUGGCUCAGUCGUUAGGCGUCUGCCUUCCGCUGUGGUCAUGAUCCCGGGGUCCUGGGAUCGAGCCUUGCAUUGGGUUCCCUGCUCCGUGGGGGGCCUGCUUCUCCCUCUCCCACUCCCGCUUCUUGUGUUCCCUCUCUCACUGUCUUUCUCUCUGUCAGAUAAAUAAAAUCUUUUUUAAAAAGUGUUAGUACAAGGUGAUGUGUAUACAUGGAAACAGCUUUUUUUUUUUUUAAUGUUUUAUUUAUUCAUUCAUGAGAGUCAGAGAGAGAGAGAGAGAGGCAGCGGCAGAGGGAGAAGCAGGCUCCCCGCCUAGCAGGGAGCCCGAUGCGGGACUCAAUCCCAGGAUUCUGGGAUUGUGACCUGAGCCGAAGGCAGACGCUUAACCAUCUGAGCUACCCAGGUGCCCCUGAAAACAUCUUUUGUAAGCUAAGGCCAUUAAGACACACAUAUUUGGGAAAAAAUAAUUAGCUUUCAGAGUGAUUAACGAAAUCUUGAUCAUUGUGAACCAGCUAUGGUAAUUUUACAAAUCAAGAGAACAAAUAAUAUUACCGUAUGUUUCAGUUAUCCCUUGCUGCAUAAAUAAAACAGCAGGUGUUUUAUUGUUCACAAUUCUGUGGUCAGGAAUUCAGGCAGGGCUUAGCAGAGAUGACUAGCUCAUGCUCUCUGAGGUGUCAGCUAGCAUGGCUUAACUGGGACUAGAAGGUCCAAGAAGCCUUCACUCAUAUUGCUGUGGUCUUGGGUGCUGCCUGUUGGCUGGAGUUACUUGAUUCUCCUCUAUAAAGCUUCUUUCUCUUCGUGUAGUUUCCAUCAUUCAGGAGGUUAGCCUAAGGUUUCUUAUAUGGUGUAGGGCUUCCAACAGAGUGAAGGAGAAAGGGAACAGGCUAGUUCUCUUAAGGCCUAGGUUUGGAAUUGCAUUAUAUUAGUUCUGCUGUAUUCUAUCGGCAGAAAGGCAGGACUCAUGGGAAGGGGAAAUAGACUCCACCUUUUGAUAGGAAGAACAGCUUGAACGUAGAAGGAAAUUUAGUCAGUUACCCUUGCAUCCAAUUUACCUCAACUUAUGGUCCUAAAAUGACUGAGUUUCAGAUUACAGAUGAUAUCCACAAGCAGAAGUAGGGAACACCCUUAUGUUCUGCCCCUUUUUAAGACUAAGAAAAACCUCUCCCCUCAGCAGAUUUCCUCUCAUAUCUUAUUAAUUAAAAUUACUUCAACUGUCUAUGCCUGUCACCAACAAGGGUGGUGAGGCGUCCAUGAUGGGCUCAGGCCAAUUGAGGGUUCAUAUCCCAGGUGUGAGGAGGGGCAAGCCUCUCCUGAAAGACAAUCUGGGGAAGGUAAACAAAAUUAGGAUUAUGUUAAAAAGGCAGAAAUGUUAAGGGCAGGGUAGGAGUGCUGACAACAUUGAUUCCAUCUUUGGCCCUCCAUCUCGUUCAUGCCCUCGCAAUGACCUCCCCUCGAGGCCACACGUUUCAGGCCCCAUGGAGGUUAAUGCAUCCCCUGACCUGAAUGCAGGAAGGCUUGUUCUGAUCUUCCCUAAAGUGACACACAGAGGGCACCCCUUUAGAUAACUAGUAAAGAUGGCUGGCGCACAGAAGGCACCACUUUCGCUAAUAGUAAAGAUGGCUGGCGCACAGAAGGCUCCACUUUCGCUAACUAGUAGAGCCAGCGCUCUUGCGCAGGUGGCACCACCUGAGACAACCACCCUGUGACCUCACCACCAUGCUGCUCGCCCUCCAGAAAGUGGGGAUGAAGGCCUCGAUUUAGCGGAGAGUAGCUGUAUCGUGCUCAGCAUCUUCUGUCUGCCGGAUUCUCCCUUUCCACAGGGUGGAAAGUCCAUGAUCAAGGUGUGUAGAUUCAGCCCCUGGUGAGGACCCACUUCAUGAGCUUCAUAAAGUCGUGAUUGGCUCCACACCCAGUGCGGAGCCCAAUAUGGGGCCUGAAUGCUUGACCCUGAGAUCAAGAUCUGAGCUGAGAUCAAGAGUCGGUGAUUAAUCAGCUGAGCCACCCAGGCACCCCAGUUCCCUUCUACUUUUUCAUUUAUUUUGUUUAAAAUGAAAGGGCAAGUUGCUAGCCUGAAAUGAAUGAAUGAAUAAAAUAAACGAACAAAUGAGUAAGUCAAUAAACAGUGUACACACAGUAUGCAAACACGCACAGACAACAAACUGUUGGCGUCUCUCAAGCUUUAGGUUCCUGCUCUAGGAAACUGUAGCUCUUCAGUAUUUUCUGGGAGUCCCCUUCCUACUGCAGAAGCCACGUUCUCUGCCCUGCCAGUGGCCCGCUUUCAUUGUUGUCUUUUUCUUAGAUUUUUAUGUACUUAAAAAUAGCAUGGCAUUUCCAGCUCUGAGAAUUUGAUAAGAAUCUGUUGUUCAGGGUGCCUGGGUGGCUCAGUUGGUUAGGCGACUGCCUUCGGCUCAGGUCAUGAUCCUGGAGUCCCGGGAUCGAGUCCCGCAUCGGGCUCCCUGCUCGGCAGGGAGUCUGCUUCUCCCUCUGACCCUCCCCCCUCUCAUGUGCUCUCUCUCAAAUAAAUAAAUAAAAUCUUUAAAAA